ACCGCGGGCCGUGACUGGCGCUGACAGGUGGGCCACCACCGGGGAGCGGCUCCGUCGACCGCCGCGCGCCUGGGCUCCCGUC
rnacentral:ncRNA from 2 species